GUCCACGCCCUAAACGAUGUCAACUGGUUGUUGGGUCUUUGGUGACUCAGUAACGAAGCUAACGCGUGAAGUUGACCGCCUGGGGAGUACGGCCGCAAGGUUGAAACUCAAAGGAAUUGACGGGGACCCCGCACAAGCGGUGGAUGAUGUGGUUUAAUUCGAUGCAACGCGAAAAACCUUACCCACCUUUGACAUGGCAGGAAGGCUUCAGAGAUGGAGUUGUGCUCGAAAGAGAACCUGCACACAGGUGCUGCAUGGCUGUCGU
rnacentral:rRNA from 1 species